rnacentral:rRNA from 1 species
UGGAAGUAAAAGUGGUAACAAGGUUUUGCUUUACAGUGAAUAAGAUCUUUCUAUCACUUACGGAAGCCUUUGCGCCCUGGUUUCAGGCAGCUCCGCGACUCUUCAAAAACAAUGGAACCUUAGCGCAAGUCAAAAACUGGGUUUUUGGCGACACAACUAAAUUACGGGGAUGCCCUACGCCCAACCUACCCGGCGGUCACGCGUGACCUACCCGGGGUUGCGCUUAAGGACGAUCCGAAGUACCGCCCCUGGUAUUCACAGACUAAAUGGUUGUGGGUUCGGCAUGUGCGCCGAGCUUAAGAUAUAGUCGGGCUUUGUAGCGUAAGCACGAAGAGUUUUACCGUUCCGUAGGUGAACCUGCGGAAGGAUCAUUA